rnacentral:rRNA from 1 species
GAGUUUGAUCAUGGCUCAGAUUGAACGCUGGCGGCAGGCCUAACACAUGCAAGUCGAGCGGAUGACGGGAGCUUGCUCCUUGAUUCAGCGGCGGACGGGUGAGUAAUGCCUAGGAAUCUGCCUGGUAGUGGGGGACAACGUUUCGAAAGGAACGCUAAUACCGCAUACGUCCUACGGGAGAAAGCAGGGGACCUUCGGGCCUUGCGCUAUCAGAUGAGCCUAGGUCGGAUUAGCUAGUUGGUGGGGUAAUGGCUCACCAAGGCGACGAUCCGUAACUGGUCUGAGAGGAUGAUCAGUCACACUGGAACUGAGACACGGUCCAGACUCCUACGGGAGGCAGCAGUGGGGAAUAUUGGACAAUGGGCGAAAGCCUGAUCCAGCCAUGCCGCGUGUGUGAAGAAGGUCUUCGGAUUGUAAAGCACUUUAAGUCGGGAGGAAGGGCAGUAAGUUAAUACCUUGCUGUUUUGACGUUACCGACAGAAUAAGCACCGGCUAACUCUGUGCGAGCA